AAAAGGUGUGGUUGGUGGUAACGGUGUACCCGGCCCUGUUGGUCCACCCGGCAUCCCUGGAUCCAGGGGAGAGCGUGGCCCGAUCGGUGACCAAGGUGUAAAAGGCAAAGCAGGGCCUAAAGGAGCACAUGGUCCAGCUGGUCCUGGUCUGACUGAUGAGCAGGUCCUGCAGCUUUGCACAGGUGUGGUCACAGCCCAGAUCUCCCAGUACGCUGCAGCAAUCCGUGCCAAGUGCUCCCAGGGCUGCCCCAUCAACAACCGGACGCUCAUCGGGCCCCCAGGAGGCCAAGGACCACCGGGAGCACCAGGCAAAGCGGGUAAACCAGGAAAAGCUGGAGCUAAAGGAACCAGAGGUGCUCAAGGGGACAGAGGCCUGGAUGGACAGAAAGGAGCACCUGGCACCACAGGUCAGAAGGGAUCUAAAGGUGCACAGGGGGAUCCAGGUAAAGGUCUGCCUGGACUCGACGGAC
rnacentral:lncRNA from 1 species